CAAGUAAGCUUGACGGUCGCGGGUAUAAACCGAAAGGUCGUAUCUGAGGAAAGUCCGGGCUCCGUAGGGCAAGGGUGCCGGGUAACACCCGGUGGAGGCAACUCUAAGGAAAGUGCAACAGAAAAUUACCGCCGGUUUUGCCGGUAAGGAUGAAAAGGCGAGGUAAGAGCUCACCGCUGCUACGGUAACGCAGCAGGCUGUGUAAACCCCAUCCGGAGCAACACCGCUAUGGGACUAUUGUUUGCCCGACAGUCUCUUUGGUGGCACGAAUGCUGCAGUGAUGCAGUGUCUAGAUAGAUGACCGUCCAUUGACAGAACCCGGCUUACUGCUUGCUUGCAUU
rnacentral:RNase_P_RNA from 1 species